AUGUGAUCGUCUCUCGCAUAUCAAUAAGCGGAGGAAAAGAAACUAACAAGGAUUCCCCUAGUAACGGCGAGUGAAGCGGGAAGAGCUCAAAUUUGAAAUCUUAAAGGGUUUCCCUUUACGAAUUGUAGUUUAAAGAAGUGUUUUCCUGUUGAGGUUUUGGUAAAAGUUCUUUGGAAUAGGACAUCAUAGAGGGUGAGAAUCCCGUAUUUGACCUUUACUUUCAACUUUGUGAUACACUUUCAAAGAGUCGGAUUGUUUGGGAAUGCAGUCCAAAAUAGGGUGGUAAAUUUCAUCUAAAGCUAAAUAUUGGCGAGAGACCGAUAGCGAACAAGUACCGUGAGGGAAAGAUGAAAAGAACUUUGAAAAGAGAGUUAAACAGUACGUGAAAUUGUCAAAAGGGAAGCGUUUGACACCAGUGUUGUUUUUCUGAAAAUCAAUUAAAGAACUGUUUAUGCUAAGUUGUUUAGACUUUAUCAGCUAUCUGUUUAGUUUUGAGCUUUUCUUUAAUGCACUUUUCAGUUAACAAGUCAACAUCAAUUUCUUUGCUGUAAAAAAGCUUGAGGAAGGUGGCUUGAGAUUCGUCUUAAGUGUUUAUAGCCUCUUGCCUAUGCAGUCGGAGAGAUUGAGGUCUGCAGCGUAGAUCCUUCGGGGCUAAAUGCAUUUGUGCUAAGUUAUAGCAUUUUAUAGACAACUUGUUGACUAUGAUUUGUCUUGUAGCUUACUCGCUUAUGUUAUUUUACCUACGCUUAGGAUGUUGAAGUCAUCGUAUCGCGC
rnacentral:rRNA from 1 species